rnacentral:rRNA from 2 species
CCUACGGGGGGCUGCAGUAAGGAAUAUUGGUCAAUGGACGAAAGUCUGAACCAGCCAUGCCGCGUGGAGGAUGAAGGCCCUCUGGGUUGUAAACUUCUUUUAUAUGGGACGAAAAAAGGCUUUUCUAGGUCGUCUGACGGUACCAUAUGAAUAAGCACCGGCUAACUCCGUGCCAGCAGCCGCGGUAAUACGGAGGGUGCAAGCGUUAUCCGGAUUCACUGGGUUUAAAGGGUGCGUAGGUGGGUUGGUAAGUCAGUGGUGAAAUCUCCGAGCUUAACUUGGAAACUGCCAUUGAUACUAUCAGUCUUGAAUACCGUGGAGGUCAGCGGAAUAUGUCAUGUAGCGGUGAAAUGCUUAGAUAUGACAUAGAACACCAAUUGCGAAGGCAGCUGGCUACUCGAAUAUUGACACUGAGGCACGAAAGCGUGGGGAUCAAACAGGAUUAGAUACCCCUGUAGUC